UAAAAUGAUCAAAAAUUAUUCAAUUAAUGGGUAAAAUAGUGAGAACCGAUUCUCUAAAGAGAGUCUUCUUUGGCUUGAAGAGGCGCUGACGUGGACGUUUAUAAUUGGUUGGACUGUAAAAUAUAUAAAGGAAAAAAAAACACAAAAGCAAAAAAAUUUCCUCCUUCUUUCUCGACUCUUCUCUCUUCUUUCUCUCUCUCUCUCUCUCUCUCUCUCUCUCUCUCUCUCUCUCUCUCUCUCUCUCUCUCUCUCUCUCUCUCUCCCUCUCUCUCUCUCUCUCAUAGCAAACAGAACAAUCGAAGGCAUGUAACAUUUUCAAAGUUUCUAUAAAGAACUUGCAAUCGAACACAUAUUGUUGAAUUUGUAUAACGUUUCUUCUCUUGCUCUCAAUUUCAACAUUCCCAGUCUUGUUAAAAAUAAAAUUUCUUAUUUUCCAAUUUAUCUUUGCUAUUAUUAAAAAAACAAAAUUAAAUUAAAAUCAAAAUGCAAUUAUUAAAAAAAACAAAAUUAAAUUAAAAAUAAAAUUUCAAGAACCUUUAGGUUCUUACCAUUGGAACACAAUAAAUAUAAAAACCCCAUCACAAACUCUUCAUCUAAAUUUUUUCAAAAUUUAUAUUAAAAAAAGUGGAAAGAACCCACAAUGGGUCUC
rnacentral:lncRNA from 1 species